GGGCGGCUGCGCCAGCUCGGGCGACAGCGUCUCGGACACGCCGGCGGAGGCGUCGCCGGCGUUCGAGUGCCCGACCGGCCG
rnacentral:tRNA from 1 species